CUGAAAAGCAACAACAACACUGCUGUGAAGAGCUGUGUGUGAGAAAACCAGCCAGAGAAGCACCUGCUCAGAAUCCAUUUUGCAGCUGAAUGGUCAAAAUAGGAAUACUCAGCACUUCCUGAGAGCAUAUCCGUCUGAGACAUCAGGCUGAGGCAGCUCAUCAGCACUUGGAGGGAUUGUGAGGGAUCAAGCCAGCCGGACUGAGCCAUUUCCACAUGCUGCAGAAGUGCUACAGGCUAGCAUUAGUGACAAAGGAACCUGUUCUCAUGCCACCCAUGAACUAACCAGCAAAGCUCCCAAGUUUCUCCCACUGGUACCCCUGCCACGAGACCAGAAGGGGCUCAGCAUCAUGGGAAGUUCUUGUGGGCUCAUUUCAAACUGGGAGGACUGACAAGGAGGGUCAGUCCCUCCCCUGAUCUUUCUGCUGACAGUGUGCUCCAUGGAAAAAUGCCACAGAACAAAGUCCUGUCCUAUCUGGGCUAAAGCACUGCUCAGAGGAAUUUCCUGAGGAAAGAUCAUUUUGCAGUGAGGGAUUUGCAAAGAAAAGGAGCCACCAACAGUGUCUGCAAGCUGAAGGGAAUGGAGAAGGGAAAAGGACCCCAUGAAGCAGAAGCAGAGUAGAGUAAGAGUUACCUUGGGCAGCAAUUUAUCCCGAGCCCAUUCCAGUUCCCUGAACCCACCUCACGCAGCACAGAGGACAUGGGUCCCAUUUCUCGGCUGUCCCAUGCCCAUCACCAAAUCAGCCCUUCACUGCUAGAGCAGGUUCUGGCUCCUGCAGACACUGCCUGCAGCAAUGCUGGAGGAACAUCAGCAUGACCUGCGCAGGCCGGGUCUGGGGGUGGGUCUGCUCCUCCUACCUGCCUGGUUUGUCGUGAUGUUGGCCAC